rnacentral:rRNA from 1 species
UGAAGUAAAAGUCGUAACAAGGUUUCCGUAGGUGAACCUGCGGAAGGAUCAUUACAACAAGGUUCCCUGGCCCUCGAAGCUUCGGCGGAGGGGUGCUACAGCCUGACUUUAUACCCACCCUUUGCCUAUGUGUACCCCUAUUGCUUCCCUCGGCGGGUUCGCCCGCCGACAGGAACCAACUAAACCCUUUGCAUUAUACAUUUAACACUUCCGAUACAAAACUAAAUUAUUACAACUUUUAACAAUGGAUCUCUUGGUUCUGGCAUCGAUGAAGAACGCAGCGAAAUGCGAUAAGUAGUGUGAAUUGCAGAAUUCAGUGAAUCAUCGAAUCUUUGAACGCACAUUGCGCCCCUCGGUAUUCCGUGGGGCAUGCCUGUUCGAGCGUCAUUUACACCCUCAAGCUCUGCUUGGUGUUGGGCGUCUGUCCCGCCUCCGUGCGCGGACUCGCCUCAAAGUCAUUGGCAGCGGUCUCGUCGGCUUCUCGCGCAGCACAUUUGCGCUUCUUGGAGCCCCGGCGGAUCAGCGUCCAGCAAGCAA